UUAGAAAAUAAAAAGAUUAUUAUCAAAAAAAGAAAAAGAAAAUGCAGCAAUAAAGACAAGGGAGGACAGCCUACAUGUGUAGCUGCAUAAAGGCCCACCGCUCACCAUCAUGAUAUUAGUUUACUAAUACGUUUUACGCAUCGUCAGACAAAGGUGUGUGGCUUAGAAAAGGCAGCAAAGCAGGUCAGGAGGCUAUGACAUCAGCAGAACAUGCUUACUCCUCAAGACCAGAGCAAGUUCUACAGGAUGAGAAGGAUCUGACUGCUACAGGUCACACCUGCCUCAUUAUAUUCCACAAUCAUUGCCUUAUCCUGAACACCUUGUCACUCUUUCUUGUUUACAAGCCGGAAUCCUAUUUUAGGUUUUACUAUAGUCUUGAAUUCCAUAAAUGUAUUGUCACGAAACGUAUCUCCAACU